rnacentral:rRNA from 1 species
GUUAUUAGGGAAGAACAUAUGUGUAAGUAACUGUGCACAUCUUGACGGUACCUAAUCAGAAAGCCACGGCUAACUACGUGCCAGCAGCCGCGGUAAUACGUAGGUGGCAAGCGUUAUCCGGAAUUAUUGGGCGUAAAGCGCGCGUAGGCGGUUUUUUAAGUCUGAUGUGAAAGCCCACGGCUCAACCGUGGAGGGUCAUUGGAAACUGGAAAACUUGAGUGCAGAAGAGGAAAGUGGAAUUCCAUGUGUAGCGGUGAAAUGCGCAGAGAUAUGGAGGAACACCAGUGGCGAAGGCGACUUUCUGGUCUGUAACUGACGCUGAUGUGCGAAAGCGUGGGGAUCAAACAGGAUUAGAUACCCUGGUAGUCCACGCCGUAAACGAUGAGUGCUAAGUGUUAGGGGGUUUCCGCCCCUUAGUGCUGCAGCUAACGCAUUAAGCACUCCGCCUGGGGAGUACGACCGCAAGGUUGAAACUCAAAGGAAUUGACGGGGGCCCGCACAAGCGGUGGAGCAUGUGGUUUAAUUCGAAGCAACGCGAAGAACCUUACCAAAUCUUGACAUCCUUUGACAACUCUAGAGAUAGAGCUUUCCCCUUCGGGGGACAAAGUGACAGGUGGUGCAUGGUUGUCGUCAGCUCGUGUCGUGAGAUGUUGGGUUAAGUCCCGCAACGAGCGCAACCCUUAAGCUUAGUUG